GUGCUCACUUCCAGAGCACAUAUACUAAAAUUUGAAUGAUACAGAGAAGAGUUGCUAGGUCCCUGCUCAAGGACGACAUUCUAAUUUGUGGUUUCUUUCUAAUUUGU